rnacentral:rRNA from 1 species
GCCGGCGACCGGCGUACGGGUGAGUAACACGUAUGAAACCUGCCCGUAGCAGGGGGAUAAGCGGAAGAAAUUCCGUCUAAUACCGCGUAACAACCCAUGGAGGCAUCUCCGUGGGUUUAAAGGAAGCGAUUCCGGCUACGGAUGGUCAUGCGUCGCAUUAGCUUGUUGGCGGGGUAACGGCCCACCAAGGCGACAAUGCGUAGGGGUUCUGAGAGGAAGGUCCCCCACACUGGUACUGAGACACGGACCAGACUCCUACGGGAGGCAGCAGUGAGGAAUAUUGGUCAAUGGCCGCAGGGCUGAACCAGCCAAGUCGCGUGAGGGAUGACGGUCCCAUGGAUUGUAAACCUCUUUUGUCAGGGAGCAAAGGGCGCCACGUGUGGCGUUUUGCGAGUACCUGAAGAAAAAGCAUCGGCUAACUCCGUGCCAGCAGCCGCGGUAAUACGGAGGAUGCGAGCGUUAUCCGGAUUUAUUGGGUUUAAAGGGUGCGCAGGCGGAAUGUCAAGUCAGCGGUAAAAUUUCGGGGCUCAACCCCGUCGUGCCGUUGAAACUGGCGUUCUUGAGUGAGCGAGAAGUAUGCGGAAUGCGUGGUGUAGCGGUGAAAUGCAUAGAUAUCACGCAGAACUCCGAUUGCGAAGGCAGCAUACCGGCGCUCAACUGACGCUCAUGCACGAAAGCGUGGGUAUCGAACAGGAUUAGAUACCCUGGUAGUCCAC